AGCUCGUAGUUGAAUUUCGGGAUCAGUACGCUGGUCAUGCCUUUGGUAUGCACUGGUGUCACUGGUUUCUCCCUUCUGAAGAACCGUGAUGUCAUUAAUUUGGUGUCGCGGGGAAUCAGGACUGUUACUUUGAAAAAAUUANNGUGUUUAAAGCAGGCUCGCGCUUGAAUACAUUAGCAUGGAAUAAUGAAAUAGGACGUUUGACCCUAUUUUGUUGGUUUCUAGGAUCGACGUAAUGAUUAAUAGGGAUAGUUGGGGGCAUUAGUAUUCAAUUGUCAGAGGUGAAAUUCUUGGAUUUAUUGAAGACUAACUACUGCGAAAGCAUUUGCCAAGGAUGUUUUCAUUAAUCAAGAACGAAAGUUAGGGGAUCGANNNCGAUCAGAUACCGUCGUAGUCUUAACCAUAAACUAUGCCGACUAGGGAUCGGAUGAUGUUAAUUUUAUAAUGACUCAUUCGG
rnacentral:rRNA from 1 species